UACGUAGGGGGCAAGCGUUGUCCGGAAUCAUUGGGCGUAAAGAGCGUGUAGGCGGCUUGGCAAGUCUGGUGUGAAAUCUUGCGGCUCAACCGCAAGCGGUCACUGGAAACUGCCUCGCUAGAGUCCGGAAGAGGAGAGCGGAAUUCCUGGUGUAGCGGUGGAAUGCGCAGAUAUCAGGAAGAACACCCGUGGCGAAGGCGGCUCUCUGGGACGGUACUGACGCUGAGACGCGAAAAGCGUGGGGGAGCGAACAGG
rnacentral:rRNA from 1 species